rnacentral:rRNA from 1 species
CUCACUAGUCGAGUCGGCCUGCGCGGAAGAUGUAACGGGGCUCAAACCACACACCGAAGCUGCGGGUGUCACGUAAGUGACGCGGUAGAGGAGCGUUCUGUAAGCCUGUGAAGGUGAGUUGAGAAGCUUGCUGGAGGUAUCAGAAGUGCGAAUGCUGACAUGAGUAACGACAAUGGGUGUGAAAAACACCCACGCCGAAAGACCAAGGGUUCCUGCGCAACGUUAAUCGACGCAGGGUUAGUCGGUUCCUAAGGCGAGGCUGAAAAGCGUAGUCGAUGGGAAACAGGUUAAUAUUCCUGUACUUCUGGUUACUGCGAUGGAGGGACGGAGAAGGCUAGGCCAGCUUGGCGUUGGUUGUCCAAGUUUAAGGUGGUAGGCUGAAAUCUUAGGUAAAUCCGGGGUUUCAAGGCCGAGAGCUGAUGACGAGUCGUCUUUUAGAUGACGAAGUGGUUGAUGCCAUGCUUCCAAGAAAAGCUUCUAAGCUUCAGGUAACCAGGAACCGUACCCCAAACCGACACAGGUGGUCGGGUAGAGAAUACCAAGGCGCUUGAGAGAACUCGGGUGAAGGAACUAGGCAAAAUGGCACCGUAACUUCGGGAGAAGGUGCGCCGGCUAGGGUGAAGGAUUUACUCCGUAAGCUCUGGCUGGUCGAAGAUACCAGGCCGCUGCGACUGUUUAUUAAAAACACAGCACUCUGCAAACACGAAAGUGGACGUAUAGGGUGUGACGCCUGCCCGGUGCCGGAAGGUUAAUUGAUGGGGUUAGCGCAAGCGAAGCUCUUGAUCGAAGCCCCGGUAAACGGCGGCCGUAACUAUAACGGUCCUAAGGUAGCGAAAUUCCUUGUCGGGUAAGUUCCGACCUGCACGAAUGGCGUAACGAUGGCGGCGCUGUCUCCACCCGAGACUCAGUGAAAUUGAAAUCGCUGUGAAGAUGCAGUGUAUCCGCGGCUAGACGGCAAGACCCCGUGAACCUUUACUGUAGCUUUGCACUGGACUUUGAGCCUGCUUGUGUAGGAUAGGUGGGAGGCUUUGAAGCGUGGACGCCAGUUCGCGUGGAGCCAUCCUUGAAAUACCACCCUGGCAUGCUUGAGGUUCUAACUCUGGUCCGUAAUCCGGAUCGAGGACAGUGUAUGGUGGGCAGUUUGACUGGGGCGGUCUCCUCCUAAAGAGUAACGGAGGAGUACGAAGGUGCGCUCAGACCGGUCGGAAAUCGGUCGCAGAGUAUAAAGGCAAAAGCGCGCUUGACUGCGAGACAGACACGUCGAGCAGGUACGAAAGUAGGUCUUAGUGAUCCGGUGGUUCUGUAUGGAAGGGCCAUCGCUCAACGGAUAAAAGGUACUCCGGGGAUAACAGGCUGAUACCGCCCAAGAGUUCAUAUCGACGGCGGUGUUUGGCACCUCGAUGUCGGCUCAUCACAUCCUGGGGCUGAAGCCGGUCCCAAGGGUAUGGCUGUUCGCCAUUUAAAGUGGUACGCGAGCUGGGUUUAGAACGUCGUGAGACAGUUCGGUCCCUAUCUGCCGUGGACGUUUGAGAUUUGAGAGGGGCUGCUCCUAGUACGAGAGGACCGGAGUGGACGAACCUCUGGUGUUCCGGUUGUCACGCCAGUGGCAUUGCCGGGUAGCUAUGUUCGGAAAAGAUAACCGCUGAAAGCAUCUAAGCGGGAAACUUGCCUCAAGAUGAGAUCUCACUGGGAACUUGAUUCCCCUGAAGGGCCGUCGAAGACUACGACGUUGAUAGGCUGGGUGUGUAAGCGUUGUGAGGCGUUGAGCUAACCAGUACUAAUUGCCCGUGAGGCUUGACCAU